rfam:Picea glauca, whole genome shotgun sequence.
GGGAAUGUAGCUCAAGUAGAGUUAUUUCCUUUGGAAAGUGAUAUAGGUUCAAACCCUUGCAUUUCCU